rnacentral:rRNA from 1 species
AGAGUUUGAUCCUGGCUCAGAUUGAACGCUGGCGGCAGGCCUAACACAUGCAAGUCGAACGGUAACAGGAAGAAGCUUGCUUCUUUGCUGACGAGUGGCGGACGGGUGAGUAAUGUCUGGGAAACUGCCUGAUGGAGGGGGAUAACUACUGGAAACGGUAGCUAAUACCGCAUAACGUCGCAAGACCAAAGAGGGGGACCUUCGGGCCUCUUGCCAUCGGAUGUGCCCAGAUGGGAUUAGCUAGUAGGUGGGGUAACGGCUCACCUAGGCGACGAUCCCUAGCUGGUCUGAGAGGAUGACCAGCCACACUGGAACUGAGACACGGUCCAGACUCCUACGGGAGGCAGCAGUGGGGAAUAUUGCACAAUGGGCGCAAGCCUGAUGCAGCCAUGCCGCGUGUAUGAAGAAGGCCUUCGGGUUGUAAAGUACUUUCAGCGGGGAGGAAGGGAGUAAAGUUAAUACCUUUGCUCAUUGACGUUACCCGCAGAAGAAGCACCGGCUAACUCCGUGCC